AUACGUAGGGGGCGAGCGUUGUCCGGAAUUAUUGGGCGUAAAGGGCGUGUAGGCGGUUAUUUAAGUCAGGUGUGAAACACCACGGCUCAACCGUGGGGUUGCACUUGAAACUGGAGGACUUGAGUGCAGGAGAGGAGAGCGGAAUUCCCGGUGUAGCGGUGAAAUGCGUAGAUAUCGGGAAGAACACCAGUGGCGAAGGCGGCUCUCUGGCCUGUAACUGACGCUGAGGCGCGAAAGCUAGGGUAGCGAACGGGAUUAGAUACCCCGGUAGUCCUAGCCGUAAACGAUGGGUACUAGGUGUGGGAGGUAUCGACCCCUUCCGUGCCGGAGUUAACGCAAUAAGUACCCCGCCUGGGGAGUACGGCCGCAAGGCUGAA
rnacentral:rRNA from 1 species